AGUCCAGUGGGACCGUAAAACUUAUGAGUAGAAAAGGCUAGGAAGUCGAUCUGGGUUUUGGCAAUGUCAAUUUGCUUGUGCUGCACCGUUUGCACUGCAUCCACGGCUACAAAAGCUUUAGGAUUGACUUGUUUGAGGUAAUCGGCAAUUUGAGCAAAGUCAAUUGAAUUGCCAAACAAAUUGGAAGUAGCGGUAAUGGCUACUACUUUAGUUUU
rnacentral:sRNA from 1 species